rnacentral:rRNA from 1 species
GAUGAACGCUGGCGGCGUGCCUAAUACAUGCAAGUCGAGCGAACAGACCAGGAGCUUGCUCCUCUGACGUUAGCGGCGGACGGGUGAGUAACAUGUGGAUAACCUACCUAUAAGACUGGGAUAACUUCGGGAAACCGGAUCUAAUACCGGAUAAUAUAUUGAACCGCAUGGUUCAAUAGUGAAAGUAGGUUUUGCUGUCACUUAUAGAUUGAUCCGGGCCGCAUUAGAUAGUUGGUAAGGUAAAGGCUUACCAAGGCAACGAUGGUUAUCCGACCCCAGAGGGAGGACGGCCACACUGGAAGUGAGACACGGUCCAGACUCCUACGGGAGGAAGCAGUAGGGAAUCUUCCGCAAUGGGCGAAAGCUUGACGGAGCAACGCCGCGGGAGUGAUGAAGGUGUUAGGAUCGUAAAACUAUGUUAUUAGGGAAGAACAAAUGUGUAAGUAACUAUGCACGUCUUGACGGUACCUAAUCAGAAAGCCACGGCUAACUACGUG